UGCGUAGGCGGAAAAUUAAGUCAGUGAUGAAAUCCUGCAGCUUAACUGUAGAACUGUUAUUAAUACUGAUUUUCUUGAAUUCAGUUGAGGUAGGCGGAAUGUGUAAUGUAGCGGUGAAAUGCUUAGAUAUUACACAGAACACCAAUUGCGAAGGCAGCUUACUAAGCUGAUAUUGACGCUGAGGCACGAAAGCGUGGGGAGCGAACAGGAUUAGAUACCCUGGUAGUCC
rnacentral:rRNA from 1 species